rnacentral:rRNA from 1 species
GUGAAAUUCCGUCGGAAUCUGGGAGGACCAUCUCCUAAGGCUAAAUACUCUCUAGUGACCGAUAGUGAACCAGUACCGUGAGGGAAAGGUGAAAAGCACCCCGGAAGGGGAGUGAAAUAGAACCUGAAACCGUGUGCUUACAAGUAGUCAGAGCCCGUUAAUGGGUGAUGGCGUGCCUUUUGUAGAAUGAACCGGCGAGUUACGAUUUGAUGCAAGGUUAAGCAGUAAAUGUGGAGCCGUAGCGAAAGCGAGUCUGAAUAGGGCGUUUAGUAUUUGGUCGUAGACCCGAAACCAGGUGAUCUACCCUUGGUCAGGUUGAAGUUCAGGUAACACUGAAUGGAGGACCGAACCGACUUACGUUGAAAAGUGAGCGGAUGAACUGAGGGUAGCGGAGAAAUUCCAAUCGAACCUGGAGAUAGCUGGUUCUCUCCGAAAUAGCUUUAGGGCUAGCCUCAAGUGAUGAUUAUUGGAGGUAGAGCACUGUUUGGACGAGGGGCCCCUCUCGGGUUACCGAAUUCAGACAAACUCCGAAUGCCAAUUAAUUUAACUUGGGAGUCAGAACAUGGGUGAUAAGGUCCAUGUUCGAAAGGGAAACAGCCCAGACCACCAGCUAAGGUCCCAAAAUAUAUGUUAAGUGGAAAAGGAUGUGGCGUUGCCCAGACAACUAGGAUGUUGGCUUAGAAGCAGCCAUCAUUUAAAGAGUGCGUAAUAGCUCACUAGUCGAGU